CCGUUGUACACACCGCCGUCAAGCCACGAAAGUUGGUAGUACCCGAAGUCGCUACGCUGACCCGCAAGGGAGGCAGGCGCCUAAGGUAAGACCAGCGAUUGGGGCU
rnacentral:rRNA from 1 species